UGGGGAAUAUUGCACAAUGGGCGCAAGCCUGAUGCAGCCAUGCCGCGUGUAUGAAGAAGGCCUUCGGGUUGUAAAGUACUUUCAGCGGUGAGGAAGGGAGUAAAGUUAAUACCUUUGCUCAUUGACGUUACCCGCAGAAGAAGCACCGGCUAACUCCGUGCCAGCAGCCGCGGUAAUACGGAGGGUGCAAGCGUUAAUCGGAAUUACUGGGCGUAAAGCGCACGCAGGCGGUUUGUUAAGUCAGAUGUGAAAUCCCCGGGCUCAACCUGGGAACUGCAUCUGAUACUGGCAAGCUUGAGUCUCGUAGAGGGGGGUAGAAUUCCAGGUGUAGCGGUGAAAUGCGUAGAGAUCUGGAGGAAUACCGGUGGCGAAGGCGGCCCCCUGGACGAAGACUGACGCUCAGGUGCGAAAGCGUGGGGAGCAAACAGG
rnacentral:rRNA from 1 species